rnacentral:rRNA from 1 species
CUCCGAGGUUUUAGUGACACUUGGUGUGGUUGGAUUAAACAAAUCUUGCACAAUGGGACGGUGAGUAUCAAACUCAAUAACCAGGUUGGGCCUUAUUUUCAUAGUGCCAAAGGGGUUCGACAAGGGGAUCCCCACUCCCCGUUCCUGUUCAAUUUGGGUGCUAAUUGCCUUGCGAAAAUGAUCAUUAAUGCUCAAAAACAUAAUUUGGUAGGUUUGGCACCUGAUCUCAUCCCUAAUGGGGUUGCGGUGCUCCAAUAUGCGGAUGACACUAUUGUUUGUUUGGAACAUGACGUUGAGAAAGCAGUAAACCUGAAGUUGCUGCUUUACAUCUUCGAGCUGAUGUCCGGGCUUAAAGUCAAUUACCAAAAGAGCGAGAUUUUCACUAUGGGUGGUGAUGAAAACACUGUGAAAUACUAUGCUGAGUUGUUCAAUUGUGAUGUGGGUAGUUUUCCUAUCAAAUACUACGGUAUGCCUGUCAGCUACACUACUCUCAGAGACUCAGACUAG